UCGCGAGAAGUAGCGGCGGCGUCGCGAGAGCGGGCGCUGCGGUAGGAGGUCGGCGGAGAAGGACGGAGCCGGAGCCGCUUCGCUCCCGCCGCCGUCCGCCUCACCCCCUCCCUCCCACCCACCCCCGUCGUCCCCUUCCUUCUCCUCCUCCUGCUUCCCCUUCCCGGUAGCGGACAGGAGGAUGCCGCGUUCCGGGCCGCUUCCCGCCGCCUUUUCGCUGUUGCUGGUGACGGCCGCGAUCCUGCCGGGACCCGCCGCGGCGCAGAACGAGCCCAGGAUCAACGCCAGCGAGGAUGUAGUCAUUCAUCUGUAUGGUCCAGCCGUCACAUUGCAGUGUAACCUCACCACAAGUCCCAGCCCCCUUUCUGCCAGUUACUGGGUGAAGAACGGAGAGGAGAUCCCUGGCACUAGAAAAUCUUCAAACACUACAGAAUACAAGAUUUUGAAGCCCAGAGCAGAAGAGUCAGGGGAAUACUUGUGCGUGUUUGUGUUUUCAAACUCUCCUAUAGCCAACGCCACUAUAGAAGUGAGAGCUACUCCCGAUAUCACUGGCCACAAGCGAAGUGAAAAUAAAAACGAGGGGCAGGAGGCACUCAUGUACUGCAAGUCCGUGGGCUUCCCGCAUCCCGAGUGGGUGUGGCGCAAGAAAGUCAAUGGAGUAUUUGAGGACAUCAACAACUCUUCUGGCAGAUUCUUUAUUUCAAAUAAAGACAACUACACCGAGCUCAGCAUCACAAACCUACAGAUAAACGAGGAUCCUGGCGAGUACCAAUGCAACGCAACCAACCAGGUCGGCUCUGUCUCGGUCACCACCAUCCUCCGUGUCCGCAGUCACUUGGCUCCCCUCUGGCCCUUUUUGGGGAUCUUGGCAGAAAUCGUUAUCCUCGUUGUCAUCAUAGUUGUUUAUGAGAAAAGGAAGAGGCCGGAUGAAGUCCCAGAUGGUAAGUGAAAACCAAUUCUACAAACAAUCAUAAAGAUAAAAACUUACGCCAGAGAAACACAAAUUAAAAAUGCUUAUCAUAGCUUUAAGUUUCUGAGAGACUGAUGGCAAUAUGACCUGCUAAAUUUUAAGGGUUGGAACUCUUGGUUCUAGAACUCCAGUUCUGUCUAUUAUUAUUAUUAUUUUUUUCUUUCCUUUUCAAGUGAGCAACAAUAUGACUGUCUAAAGCAUGCCUUAUUUAGCCUCUCCUGUAAGGAUGACCUAGCCAGAUAAAUUUUAAUAAUGCUUCAGUGUAGAAGGUGUAAACUAUUUUGGGCUUGAUGUGCUGUGAAUGUUGCUUUUUUUUUUCCCUCCUGGUUUUUUUUGUCUCCUUAAUCUAUUUAAACAUUAGGAGUAGUCAGCCGGAUCACGCAUGCGCCAUUUUUUACUUCCUGUAGCUGUUAAAAUUGGCAAAGCUCUAAAACGCACUGCUGCCAUCUAGUGAGACUUUUUGUAAAGUACAGCAAAACUUAAAAAAAUAUAUACAGUAUAUAUUUAUAUUUUGGGGGAGGGGGAAAACCAAAAUACAGUAAUUGUGUUUCAUUUUUAAGCUGCUGAUAUUCAUUCCUUACUGUAUGUCUGAAAGAUGAGAGAAUUAUACUGUUCUGGUACUUAGAGAAGUAAUAUAAAUUGAAAUUAUCUUAAGGGCUUAACCUAUAGAGAGAGACUCGGGUGUCCUAUAAUCAGACUUCAAAAGCUGGAAUGGUUCGACGUGGUGGAAUGCAGUUGAAAACAAAAACAAAACUUCAGUUUAUAAAUAUAUAUAUAUGAUUGCUUUUUAAGUGAUUUUUUUUUUGUUAACUCAUGUAAAUUCUCAAAUCCUUUUGCACUGAUGUGUUCAACAUAUUCUUGUACAUUCAAUUCAGGCAAACUUUUAUAAUUUUCUUUUUUUUUUUUGUUUAAAUGAUGAAAUGUUACAGCAUGGUGAUAUUCUAUGCAACUAGUUAUACUCUUUAGUUUGACACUGUAAUUUCUCAUGAUUUAAAGAUUGUAGAAAUAGACCUAACAGGGUUCUCACGAUGUGCGUAACUGUAGAUGCAUGAACUUGUGUUCUGUGUAUUUGUUGAAGUGCAAUGAUGUAUAAAAAGUGGAUUCACCUGUUUUUAAAAAUAAAACACUGACAAAAAAAAAAA